rnacentral:rRNA from 1 species
UACGUAGGGAGCAAGCGUUGUCCGGAAUCAUUGGGCGUAAAGCGCGCGUAGGCGGCCCUGUAAGUCCGUUGUGAAAGUCAAAGGCUCAACCUUUGAAAGCCGAUGGAUACUGCAGGGCUAGAGUCCGGAAGAGGCGAGUGGAAUUCCUGGUGUAGCGGUGGAAUGCGCAGAUAUCAGGAAGAACACCAACGGCGAAGGCAGCUCGCUGGGACGGUACUGACGCUGGAGACGCGAAAGCGUGGGGAGCGAACAGG